rnacentral:tRNA from 1 species
GCUGGUAUAGCUCAAUUGGCAGAGCGCCUGACUUGUAAUCAGGAGGUUGAGAGUUCAACUCUCUCUACUAGCU